UACAGAGGGUGCAAGCGUUAAUCGGGUUUACUGGGCGUAAAGGGCGCGUAGGUUGUUGUUUAAGUUUGAUGUGAAAUCCCUGGGCUUAACCUAGGAACUGCAUUGAAUACUGGGCAACUAGAGUACUGUAGAGGGUAGUGGAAUUUCCGGUGUAGCGGUGAAAUGCGUAGAGAUCGGAAGGAACACCAGUGGCGAAAGCGGCUUCCUGGUCCAGCACCGACGUUCAGGCACGAAAGCGUGGGGAGCAAACAGG
rnacentral:rRNA from 1 species